GACGAACGCUGGCGGCGUGCCUAAUACAUGCAAGUCGAACGCAUUUUCUUUCACCGUAGCUUGCUACACCGAAAGAAAAUGAGUGGCGAACGGGUGAGUAACACGUGGGUAACCUGCCCAUCAGCGGGGGAUAACACUUGGAAACAGGUGCUAAUACCGCAUAAUUCCAUUUACCGCAUGGUAGAUGGAUGAAAGGCGCUUUUGCGUCACUGAUGGAUGGACCCGCGGUGCAUUAGCUAGUGGGUGGGGUAACGGCCUACCAAGGCUGCGAUGCAUAGCCGACAUGAGAGGGUGAUCGGCCACACUGGGACUGAGACACGGCCCAGACUCCUACGGGAGGCAGCAGUAGGGAAUCUUCGGCAAUGGACGCAAGUCUGACCGAGCAACGCCGCGUGAGUGAAGAAGGUUUUCGGAUCGUAAAACUCUGUUGUUAGAGAAGAACAAGGAUGAGAGUGGAAAGUUCAUCCCUUGACGGUAUCUAACCAGAAAGCCACGGCUAACUACGUG
rnacentral:rRNA from 1 species